rnacentral:pre_miRNA from 1 species
CUUAUACUCCCUCCGUUCCUAAAUACUUGUCUUUCUAGGCAUUUUAAUAAGUGACUACAUACGGAGCAAAAUGAGUGAAUCUACACUCUAAAAUAUGUCUACAUACAUCCGUAUGUAGUAGUCAUUUGAAAUGUCUACAAAGACAAGUAUUUAGGAACGGAGGGAGUAGUAA